UGGGAGCUUGCUCCCUGAUGUUAGCGGCGGACGGGUGAGUAACACGUGGGUAACCUGCCUGUAAGACUGGGAUAACUCCGGGAAACCGGGGCUAAUACCGGAUGGUUGUUUGAACCGCAUGGUUCAGACAUAAAAGGUGGCUUCGGCUACCACUUACAGAUGGACCCGCGGCGCAUUAGCUAGUUGGUGAGGUAACGGCUCACCAAGGCGACGAUGCGUAGCCGACCUGAGAGGGUGAUCGGCCACACUGGGACUGAGACACGGCCCAGACUCCUACGGGAGGCAGCAGUUGGGAAUCUUCCGCAAUGGACGAAAGUCUGACGGAGCAACGCCGCGUGAGUGAUGAAGGUUUUCGGAUCGUAAAGCUCUGUUGUUAGGGAAGAACAAGUGCCGUUCAAAUAGGGCGGCACCUUGACGGUACCUAACCAGAAAGCCACGGCUAACUACGUGCCAGCAGCCGCGGUAAUACGUAGGUGCCAAGCGUUGUCCGGAAUUAUUGGGCGUAAAGGGCUCGCAGGCGGUUUCUUAAGUCUGAUGUGAAAGCCCCCGGCUCAACCGGGGAGGGUCAUUGGAAACUGGGGAACUUGAGUGCAGAAGAGGAGAGUGGAAUUCCACGUGUAGCGGUGAAAUGCGUAGAGAUGUGGAGGAACACCAGUGGCGAAGGCGACUCUCUGGUCUGUAACUGACGCUGAGGAGCGAAAGCGUGGGGAGCGAACAGGAAUAGAUACCCUGGUAGUCCACGCCGUAAACGAUGAGUGCUAAGUGUUAGGGGGUUUCCGCCCCUUAGUGCUGCAGCUAACGCAUUAAGCACUCCGCCUGGGGAGUACGGUCGCAAGACUGAAACUCAAAGGAAUUGACGGGGGCCCGCACAAGCGGUGGAGCAUCUGGUUUAAUUCGAAGCAACGCGAAGAACCUUACCAGGUCUUGACAUCCUCUGACAAUCCUAGAGAUAGGACGUCCCCUUCGGGGGCAGAGUGACAGGUGGUGCAUGGUUGUCGUCAGCUCGUGUCGUGAGAUGUUGGGUUAAGUCCCGCAACGAGCGCAACCCUUGAUCUUAGUUGCCAGCAUUCAGUUGGGCACUCUAAGGUGACUGCCGGUGACAAACCGGAGGAAGGUGGGGAUGACGUCAAAUCAUCAUGCCCCUUAUGACCUGGGCUACACACGUGCUACAAUGGGCAGAACAAAGGGCAGCGAAACCGCGAGGUUAAGCCAAUCCCACAAAUCUGUUCUCAGUUCGGAUCGCAGUCUGCAACUCGACUGCGUGAAGCUGGAAUCGCUAGUAAUCGCGGAUCAGCAUGCCGCGGUGAAUACGUUCCCGGGCCUUGUACACACCGCCCGUCACACCACGAGAGU
rnacentral:rRNA from 1 species